GUGUUUGCUUUGGCAGCACAGAUACUAAUGGUGGAACGAUACAGAGAAGAUUAGUACAGCCCCUGCUAAGGGUGACACCCAAAUUUGUGAAGUGUUGUUCCCUAUC